UACAGAGGUAGCAAGCGUUGUCCGGAUUCACUGGGCGUAAAGGGCUUGUAGGUUGCUUUUUAAGUCAGGUGUGAAAUCGUCCCGCUUAACGGGACAAUUGCAUUUGAUACUGAUUAGCUUGAGUGCGGGAUGGGAAACUGGAAUUUCCGGUGUAGCGGUGAAAUGCGUAGAUAUCGGAAAGAACACCGGUGGCGAAGGCGGGUUUCUGGUCCGCAACUGACACUGAGGAGCGAAAGCCAGGGGAG
rnacentral:rRNA from 1 species